rnacentral:rRNA from 1 species
UGGUGGAGCGAUUUGUCUGGUUAAUUCCGAUAACGAACGAGACUCUAGCCUGCUAAAUAGCCAAGCGAUCCGCAGCGUCGCUUGCUACAAAGCUUCUUAGAGGGACAGGCGGCGUUUAGUCGCACGAGAUUGAGCAAUAACA